CACGAAGUUAGCCGGGGCUUCUUCUCUGGGUACCGUCAUUAUCUUCCCCAGUGAAAGAGCUUUACAACCCUAAGGCCUUCAUCACUCACGCGGCAUGGCUGGAUCAGGCUUGCGCCCAUUGUCCAAUAUUCCCCACUGCUGCCUCCCGUAGGAGUCUGGGCCGUGUCUCAGUCCCAGUGUGGCUGAUCAUCCUCUCAGACCAGCUAUGGAUCGUCGCCUUGGUGAGCCGUUACCUCACCAACUAGCUAAUCCAACGCGGGUUGAUCUGGUGGCGAUAAAUCUUUCCCCCGAAGGGCUUAUACGGCAUUAGCUCAAGUUUCCCUGAGUUGUUCCGUACCACCAGGCACAUCCCCACGCGUUACUCACCCGUCUGCCGCUCCCCUUGCGAGGCGCUCGACUUGCAUGUGUUAAGCCUGCCGCCAGCGUUCGUUCUGAGCCAGGAUCAAACUCU
rnacentral:rRNA from 1 species